rnacentral:rRNA from 1 species
UACGAAGGGUGCAAGCGUUACUCGGAAUUACUGGGCGUAAAGGGUGCGUAGGCGGCGCGGAAAGUUGGGUGUGAAAUCCCUCGGCUUAACCGAGGAACUGCGCCCAAAACUACCGUGCUUGAGGGAGAUAGAGGUGAGCGGAACUUAGGGUGGAGCGGUGAAAUGCGUUGAUAUCCUAAGGAACACCGGUGGCGAAAGCGGCUCACUGGAUCUCUUCUGACGCUGAGGCACGAAAGCUAGGGUAGCAAACGGG